rnacentral:misc_RNA from 1 species
UCUCACCUUUCAGAUUAAAAAAGUUGGAAAGGAGCCCUCUAAGGAAGGAGGAAGAGUGGACUAAGUCAAAGCAACAUAAGAGAUAAGAAGAAGGACAAAGCAGCAGAGUGAGCUGCUAUAGCUGCAGGGGAAACCUAUUUUUCGUUCUUUUAUGGGUAUAAUAUUUUAUACCCUUGUAAACUUCUUUUGAUGUAAAUUAUUGUUCAUAUGUAUUUAUAGAACUAGUUGAGCAGUUGUACAAUUAAAAUUGUAAUAUUAAUAUUUUGUUCUCUUUUCUGGAAUUGUAAAGUUUUAUAUUUAAGCUGAAUCGAAUGAAAUGCUAUUAAAAUUGCUUGAA